rnacentral:sRNA from 1 species
UCUUAGCCCUGAUCGAAGUGAUAUCCUUUGUGGUUUUUAUUUAAAACUAUAAAGAUAAAGCGGAGAGCAGGACACAUC